rnacentral:rRNA from 1 species
UACGGAGGGUGCAAGCGUUAUCCGGAUUCACUGGGUUUAAAGGGUGCGUAGGUGGGUUGGUAAGUCAGUGGUGAAAUCCCCGAGCUUAACUUGGGAACUGCCAUUGAUACUAUCAGUCUUGAAUACCGUGGAGAUGAGCGGAAUAUGUCAUGUAGCGGUGAAAUGCUUAGAUAUGACAUAGAACACCAAUUGCGAAGGCAGCUCGUUACACGAAUAUUGACACUCAGGCACGAAAGCGUGGGGAUCAAACAGG